rnacentral:snoRNA from 1 species
AACCUCGUGGGAUAGUGUGGAGAGUGGCCAGCACCCUGCCAGUUUAGGAAACAGGAGGUGAAGCAUGCUAAACUGGGCAUCCAUGGCAUUCGUGGCUUGCCAGGUGUCUAGUGACUGGGAGACACUGGCAAUG